rnacentral:tRNA from 1 species
GGAAAGGUGGCAGAGUGGUUAAUUGCGACGAUUUCGAAAAUCGUUAUAGUUAAUUCUAUCAGGGGUUCGAAUCCCCUCCUUUCCU